rnacentral:lncRNA from 1 species
CAUGUUACAGGUUCUUGCUAAGUCGCCCAUCCUGGGCUAAUAACAUUCAUUUGUUUCACUAAAGCCACCCUGAGUGCUAGGAAUACUAGGCAUGGACCACCGUGCCUGCCACAGAAAGUUCUUUUAGGGCUGGUUAUGUAGCUCAGUGAUGGAACAAAAAGCACUAUGUUCAAUGUGUAGUAUCUCAAAAUUUUCUCCAUUUUAAAUAAGCACAACCCACCAGAAUAUUGGAAUCAAAGUCCUCAUAUAGCCUGGAGUCCCAUUUUUUAAAAUUCCAUUGGGAAAGUAUGAGAAAAGAGAAGGCAGUAAUGUCAUGGUGUAAAUGCCAAGGGCAGAAGCAGUGAAGCGUUGAAAUGCAAGAAAAGCUCUAGGUGGCACAGGAAUGAAGGUGUGAGAUCACAAUUUGCUUAUGCAAAAAUAACUCCUACAGGCCUUUAGCAGUGUUUUUCAGUUGGAAUAAAAUUCUCAGCAUAUGUAUUAAAAUUAUCUUAGGGUGCUUUAAAAGUAGGCGUAGACUGCAAGUUGCUGUAUUUCUGACUUGCUACCAAAGCAGCCAUUUCUUCAUGAGGCAUACUUUGGUGAGGGGGAAGACAUGAGUUACAGUGGUUGAUUAGGAAAGCACACAGGGCUUUCAGAAUAUUGUUCUAGAGGUCAUCCCUGGGUGACUAUUAAGAAUUGAUGAAAGGAUGCCCUAUUUGGGAGUUAAAUGCAUUAAGGGAAAGUAGUGGCUAAUCUUAUGUCUGUACCAAAGUGGGAGAUCCUAAAAAGGAUCUUGGGAGACGUCUGGUAAGGUUAGAAGGUGAGAAGACAAAAUCUUCUCUGCCUUCAUACACAGCGUGUUAAAGUUAGCCAAACUUGGUUUGCUUAUUGCUCUUUGAAGUGUACAUAAAGUUUUAUUUUUUGAUUUUUUUGUUUUGUUUUUUGGGAUGGGCUGGCCUUGAACUUGGGACAAUUUUCCUAACAGCCUCCUGAGUGCUGCGAUUCCAGGCAUGCGCCACCAUGCCCAGUUCCAUGUUUUAUGUGAGGGUGGAAAUGUUUCAUGAGGUGUCCAGUGUGAUACCAAGUAGUGAUAGUUGUGAAAUGUGCUCAGUGUGACUGAAAUAUUUUAAAUUUUAUUUCUUUAGCUACAUGUGGCUACUUUGAGUAGCAUAAUACUAGAGAAUGAGAAGUUUCUAGACAGGUGCUGAUAAUUGGUUAUACUUAAUGCUUUUACAUGAGCAAAUGUGACAUAUUGGAGAUGUUGCAUGUCCUUGGUCCAUUGUUUUCUUAGCCCUUAGGCCCUAAAUCAGUAAUGAAGAUUUUCCUCCAAUGAGGUUAUCUACAACCUCAGGGAAUUGCAAGAAUGUCCAUGUUGCCCACACCUUAUUGCCUCUUGUAAAAUAACUUUCAAAUUAGGAAUCCUCAGUUGGCUUAGGCUCAAAGCAGAUUAUCUUCAAAUGAUGCGAGGCAAACAUUUAAAUCAUGGGUUUUUAAUUUUUGCUUGUAACCCUGUUACGUGUGCAAGUAAUGGCUGUGUUUCCAAGGAUUUGAGAUAGUGUUUUCAAAUCCCCACGAACCAAAACUUCAACCUAUUUUUUGACUUACCCAUGAAUUUUGAACAUUUGAGUAGGAAACAGAAGCACUGAGUCUGAGAAAACAACUUAUCCUAGCUACAGGUAACAUUGUAUGUCAGCACCUUCUCUGAAAUUUGAUAAGAACCAUAUCCCUACAGCAUGGGACCUGGUUUUGCUUCAGAAAUGCAGCAAAGAUAAGAGGCUCUCCCACCCAUCUUCCUCAGCUCUUGUAGAGCACCCAGACACAUAAUGAAACCAUUUCUGAUGGCUCAGACAACAUACUUGGCAAACACCUUGUUGAGAUCACUGUUGACUUCACAAUUCUCAUCCUGUACUUCACGCUUGGAUUUUGAUCCUGUGAACUCCCUGUGGUAUCUAUCACUGAACUCUAAAAAGACGUCUAUCCAAGGGACUUAACUAACACGAAUGGAGUUCAGUACCAGACUCACACAGGUCACAAAAAUAAAGCUGCUGUGUAUUUGGAGCAUAAGUCCUGCUCCCCAGAAUGGCAGACCCGAGAAUAAGGUUUUCAAAUUUAAUGGCUCAAUGUUCAUUUCCAGCUCAUUCAUUGGUUAAUAGCUUUUCCAGUUCCCAUUCAAGCUUAGGAAUCUAUGGACCAUGGCCUUGUCUGUCCUGUGUUCUAAAGGCUAAUUGCUCCAGAAGAAUAGAUGUUUCAGGGUCCCUCUUGGCUCUCCACCCAGAGUGAGGGCGUUUAGUUUAGUGGGGCUAGAUAGCUAACUAGCUAGAACAAGGUGCCAGCCAGGCUUACUCAGAUGUACAAUAUUUGACUUCCUUUUUUGGAAUUUAACUUUUUGAUGUGUUUUAUCACUAAGCCAAACCUACCCUUUACUAGAACUUUAUAUCUUUGCACAAAAGCUGCUUCUAUAAAGUAUACCUAAGGUUUCAGAAGCAGGUUGCCAGAAAGUUAACUGCUUAUGUAUUGGAAAUGCUACAGUGGGCUACUCUGCUCUUAAAUGUCCUUGGAUAUCCUGGACUGACUUUAAGCAUUUUUCCUUGUAGGGAUAUCCCAGCUCUUUGAGCACAAGAAGGAGUAGCCUGGUGGAAUCUAGUCCCCUGGGGUGAAAUCUAGCAGUGUCCGUCCUUAACUAUUAACUGCCCAUCUCUGGAAACAGCCUGUGUUUUUCAUUCCCUCACUUGGGAGUAGGCUUCCCAGUAAUGAAAUUGCCGGAUUAUACCUCCAUAGCAUGUGGAUAGGAUACAUGGCGGCACUUGGUGAAGUUUAUACUGCUUUGUCCUCUUACAUACUGUCCUGAAUAUAAAAGAAUGUCUUUCUUAGAAAAUAUUAACACCUUGGUGCAAUCUGUCUUUUCCUGAGUCAGCAAGCUCUCAGUGCAAAUGACAAAGGCUCAUUUUCCCUACCUCUCUCAACAAGUUAGAAACAUCCUAGUUGUGUCCAUGGUGGCCUUAAAAAGUCCAUACUCAAGCUUCUCUAAAUUCACUCUUGAUUUUUGCCCCCCUUUUCAGUUCUUUUUAGGUUUUAGUUGUAGUUCUAUACCAUUCAUCCCUCUCCCACUUCUCUGCAACUUUAUGGCAAUUCACAGUUCUCUUCUUGACCAAUAUUUGCACUAAGCAGCUUCAGAAUGCUCUGGACACAGUUUACAUGCACACAUCUUUUCUACUGUGCUAGACAUAGGAUUAAUACCUGCUGCCAACAGUGGACAUAUUCUUGUAUCUAGCUGAUACAGAUGCAUAGUUGUAAUUGCUGCGAUCUAAAAGAUGACACAUUUUACACCUACUGUUACAGUGCCUCCCGGAUUAUCUGUUGAGUCAUUUUAUUCCUGUCCAUGAGCCUUCUUCAGUACCAAUCUAAGUUGCCCUCAUUUUGCUUCUAGCAUACUGCAGUAAUCUUAUCUACCCACAUAUACUCAGAUCAAUUUCUAAUCAUUUGUUCAUACAACAGCCAUAUUGAUUUUUCCAAAGCACACAUAUCAUGGUAGUUCUUGGCUUAAAACCAUUCUGGCUUCAUUUGAUUUUAGAAGAUAAUGACAUGUCUUAAGUUCCUAAGUCCAAAGGUGGCCUAACCCUUGCCUAUGUGUAUGUCCCCUACCAUAUGCUCCCUCACUUUCCCUGUUAUCACAAUGCACCUCUCUUUGUCUCUUAAUUCUCAUGCACUCUCCCACUUUUGCCCAUUUAAUUUCCUAAUUCUAUUUAUCCUUCAGAUUUUAACUUAAAUGUCACUAAUAGGAGAAGCCUUCCAUUUUUAUUAAAAAUCUCCAGCUCUGCUCGCAUCACUCUUCAUAUGAUUGGUUAUUGUGGUUUUCUUAUUAAAGCUCAGAAAGGACCUCAUCUUUUUAGUGUUCAUUAAUGUAUCCCCAGUACUUGUGUCUGAAAGUAGUACAUGUUGAGUGGAUGAAUGGGGAUGGAAGAGGAACAAGUGGGGAAGGGUUUAACUGUGCAAGGCAGCCUUGGAAAUGGAAAGCAAUGCUGAAGAAUUAACUUCAGCACAACCAGAAAAAUGUUACAAUGCCUUGUGCCCAACUCGAAGGGGUGCAUAGAGGUAGGGUUCACAGCACUGUCUUUCAGUUUAGUAGUUCACAAUCUCAAUGUCACCCUCCAACAAGGCCCUCUAUGAUCGGUGUUUAAUGCUUUAAGUCUGAUAAUGGGGCAUCAUCCAAAGAAGGAUGUGUCCAUUGGGGUUAACCUGUUUUUUAAUCCAAUUUUCCUUAUAAGGUUCACUCUUAGCAGCUUUCCUACCCCUCACUCCACCCCCCAAAAUCUAACCUAGGGCACUCUACCAUUGAACUACAUCCCCAGGCCUUUAUAUUUUUUUCCUUUUUUGUGUGUGGAACUCAGGACCUUGCGCUUUCAAGGCAGGUGCGGUGCCACUGAGCUAAAGCCCUGGCCCCCUUUUUUAUUUUGAGACAGUCUUGCUAAAUUACCCAAGCUGGCCUCAAACUUGUGAUCCUCCUGCCUCAGCCUCAGCUUUCUGAGUAGUUGGUAUUAUUGCUGUGCACCACUCACACAUCUUGAGUAUCUAUAGCUUGAAGACUUACCAAAAAUGUGAAUAUGCCUGUUGAAACACUUCUCUGAUAAAGAAAUAGAAUAUUACAAACCUCCCUCAUCCGCUCAUUACUCCCACUAGAUUGCCACUCUUGUAUCAUCAUGGACAGGUUUUGCACAUUUCUGAACAAUAUAUAAAUGGAAGAGUAUUGAUUGUGCUGCUGAUGUUUGGGGUAGUCCUGAGAGCAGAGCUUGAGAAAAAAAAAAACUUGGAGCAUUAGUUCACUUGAGUGAACUUGGAGGGAGAAAUGGGAGAAGGGGCAGUUAGGGAGGAAAAACCAACAUAAGGAUAUGUUACUGAGGUUGGAUACCUAAUGCUUUCCUAUAUUGUCUGACAGAGAAGAGUAUGGAAAGCUGGAAUAUUUACUAGCUUCUGUUCCCAACUGAUUGGAGGAUUCCUCCUGAGGAGGUUAACUUCCCUGUAAUUCUUAGCUAUAACUGGUCUUAUUAAGCUGUAGCAGCAUUGAAAACCAGUGGAUUUUCAGUUUGGCACAUCAUUAUUAUGAACAUUCUCAUACAUGGUUGUGAGAACAUUCUCAUAUAUGCUUGUCUCUUGGGUUAUAUAAAUCAGACGGAACUGCUUGGUCAUAGAGUAGGCAUAUAUUUAGUUCUAGUAGAUAUUGCCAAAAACUAUAAUGUGAUUGUACUAACACAUUCUCGGUAGCUAUAAAUGAACAUUUCAGUUCUACAUUCUUUUCAGCCCUUGGUAUUGUCGAUUCUUUUAUCUUUAGGCUUUUUUGUUUUGUAUUGUUUUUUGAGACAUGGUCUCACCGUGUAGUUUGGAAUAGCCUUGAACUCUCAGGCUGGCCUGAAACUUGUGAUCCUUCUGCCCCAGCCUCCUCUGAGUACAGGGAUUACAGGCAUCCAUCACCAUGGCCAACUUACUUUAGGCUUUUUAAUGGGUGUAUACUGUUACCUAAUUUAGUGUGUGUUUGCUUUUUGGUAAGCUUUCUGAAGUAUAAUUUCCAUGAAGUGCACAAAUCGUGUACAACUGUUAAGUUUUCACACAGAAACAGAGAAACACACACACACAGAGCAAGAAAUCAAGAUUGGGGGCCAGGGAUUUAGCUCAGUGGUGCUGGUGCCUGCCUGGCAAGUGCAAGGUCCUUAGUUCAAUCCCCGGUACUGAAAAAAAA